ACAUGCCUACAUCAUAGUGUUAAUGCACCAGAUUCCGUUAGAACUAUGCACUUAAGUGCGCUUAGGAUAGAGUAGUACUCAGAUGGAUGACCACUCAAGAAGUUCUAGUAUUUUACAUGCC
rnacentral:rRNA from 1 species